rnacentral:lncRNA from 1 species
AAAAAGAUUAGAUACAAAAUUGUUUGUAGCGAACAUUAGUUCUCAAAAGCAUAACCAUUACAAAUAUUUUAACGAAAUGGUCUACAAAUCAUCAUACAAGCUUGUUCGAAUAGCAACUUAGAUAACCAGAACUACAACAUAACCUCAAGUUUCAUAACAGUGUAACUUGUCACAAAAAGCUUGGAUAAAUUAUUUAAUCAUCUAAAGUGCUCUGUCAAAAUUCUCCUCGAUGAUCCAUGUCUCUUCAUAUAACCCAUCAAGUUUAACUCAACGUGAUUAAAUAGCAACCUCCAGCAUCACCUUGCCACGGCUGCAACCUAAGUUUUCCUUGUUACUGCAGCAAAUGAAAUAGCAUAAAUGCUUAAUGAAGACAGGCAAAAUCCAACACAUGCGUAUUGAAUACAACACUCAUCAACCCUGGAAAAAACUAAGAGAAUCCAAUGUACACAUCUUGAUAUCCGAGUUAGUUAAGUUCACAUUUGGCAACAUGUAGCUGCGCAGGGCACAAUUACCAACACAUUGAUUACAGUAUUGGUAAGCUGCAAAUGAAAGGAGUCACCAAUGCAAGAGGCAGUGGGAUGCAAAACUUGACAUGGACAGAGGAUACCAAGAGAGAAUUGAAGUACCAAAAUAUCAGCAAAGAGUUCUUGCUGCUUCUAGUGGGGUUCAAACUUCAAAGCUUGCGGAUCCCAACUUUCUUCACACUACAAGGCUUUAUUGUUGUUUUUUCUUUUCUUUGAAGGGUCA